GGAUCAAUUUGUCGGUCGUGCCUCGGUACGUACUGGCAUUAUUGGUUUCUACCUUCUGAAGAACCUUGAUGUCAUUAAUUUGGUGUCUUGGGGAAUCAGGACUGUUACUUUGAAAAAAUUAGAGUGUUCAAAGCAGGCACAUGCCUGAAUACAUUAGCAUGGAAUAACAAAGUAGGACGUGCGGUUCUAUUUUGUUGGUUUCUAGAGUCGCCGUAAUGAUUAAUAGGGAUAGUUG
rnacentral:rRNA from 1 species